UCACCUUUCUAAUUUAAUGUACUAUUAAGUAAUUUUGACAAAUUGUUUAUUCAAAAAUAGUUUGUAUAUUAGUUACUUUUCUCAUUGCUGUUAUGAAAUACCUGACAAAAAGCAAUUUUAGGUUUUGGUUUGGUGUGUAGUUCAAAGGAAGACAGCCUAUUAUGACAGGAAAGGCACAGGGGCAGAAGUGUGAGGGGUUUGGUCACAUUGCAUGGAUUGAUUAUCCACAAGCAGACAGAAGACAGGAAGUAGUAGCAGCUAUAACACAUCGGCUUCCAGUGAUUCACAUCUUCUAGCAAGGAUCUAGCUCAUAAAUGUUUCACAGCCUCCAAGACAGGAGCCUAAGGUGGGAAUAUCACAUUCAAACUACAACAAUAUGGAAUGAAGCCUGAACUAUUUGCAUUUGGGGGCUAUUAUGAAUAAAGGUGCAAAAAUUCAUGUGUUUUCAUUGUUGUAUACUAAAUAAUUAAUAGUAGAAUCACUAAAAAAACAUUUUGAAUUUUAUAAUAAAUGUUUGCAAAUCCCCUUAUUAUCUGACUUCCCACAAGCCAUGUUGAGUGUUUUAAUUGCUCCAUAUUCUCACCAGCAUCUGAGUCUUGUGGCAGUAGCUCACAGUGGUUUUCAUCUGCAUUUCCUUCAUGAAAAUUAGGUUAAGUAUGAUUUGAAUGUGAAACUUUUUCAUGAAAUGUCUGUUUGAAGUUUUUGCCUACACUUGUCUGCAACUAGUGUUAAAGUGUAAAAAUUUUGAUAUCUUUUUUUUCUUUAUGUGAAUUUUCUUGCAGUAUGUAGUUUGUGUUUUAAUUUAGAGCAUGUUUCUAAUGAUUCCUUCAAUUCUUUUAUUGGUUUGUUUCGUUUUUGUUUUAAAUAAGCCUCCAUGUAGCCUCAUCUCAGUAGACAGUCAAGGCUGAACUUGAACUCCUUUCUGCUCCUCUGCCACCUCCUCCUAUUUUAUUGUUGGCAUUUUAUUAUUUUAGAGUUUACAUUUAAUGAAAUGUACACUUAAAAGUUUAGUAAUUUCAGUCCCUUCCUGGCAUAAAAUAACUGUUUCAGCUUUUAGAGUUUGACUUUGUAAAUAAUAUACUUAAUAUUGUUUCAUCUUCUAUUGUUCUUAGGGUUAAUUGGGACUCUAUCCUUAACACUAAUCCAAAUGCCAGUUAAGUUUGAUAUAGAAAAGUUGUUUCCAAGAAGAUAAGUCUUUCUUGUUUUCCUCUCUUCCUGGAAUCUAUUUGCAAAUUGUUUUCUAUCAAUGAUUUGUUUAAAACGCAGCCUUUGAAUACUAAGAUAAUUUCCUUCUGUGUUUUAUUUAUGGUAAAAUUUUAUUUUCUUUAUUGUUCCUAUUCUGUGGUUGCUUUUGCACUUUAUUGUUCAUCAAAUGUGUACAGGCUUGAGUUUACGUGGGGUAAUUUUAUUGCUGGAUGUCUUCUCCUUUAGAAUGAAGAAGUCAGAUUUAUUGAAAAUGAGCUAGAGAUUCAAAAGCAAAAAUACUUUAAGCUCCAGUCUUUUGUUAGAAACCUGAUUCUCGCUAUGAAAGCUGAUGAUAAAGACCAGCAGCAGGUAAGUCCCACGAGAGAUGAGGAAGCCACAAUGUGUCAAGUUGAAAAAUGGCCCGUCAGAUUUGGAGUCUUCAUAUCUCUUCAUUUGUACUCUCCAUUCUAGCUUUGAAUUUCAUAGAACAAAUGGUUAUUUUAUGAUCUUUUUAAACAUAUAUAUUUUUUGAAGUUCAGAUUUUGGGGUGUGCUACUAUAAUACAAAAUCUAAAUAGCUGCUUAGAAUAUUUUCUGAAUCUUAGGAUAGCCUUUAAGUAGAGAAAACCAAAUUUUAAGAUUAAUUUUCAAGAAAUUCCUCAGAAUUUUUGUAGCAAUACAGCUGUCUCAACCCCCAACUAGACCAAGUGCUUGGGGCACUUUUUCUGAAUGAAAAAAGUGGGUAUUUAUUUAUCCACCAGCAGCUGCUGGAGGUCACAAAUGUUUGGACAUAGUCUGUUCUAUAAUAUGUUGCUCCUCACUAAGAAAGCAUGAAAUUACUUCAUGAAAUUCUUUGUGACCAUAGUGUAUCACAUUUUACAAUGCAAGUAGAAAUGUUUUGAGUCUUCCCAUCCAAAACUGAAAUGCCUUUUUUUGCUGUGGAUAUUUGUUUAUACAUUACUUCCAAAUUACUUUUGGCCCUCAGAUCUUUCUUGAGACAAAAUUAAUUAAUAUAAUAUAAUAUAAUAUAAGGAUAUUUAAACCUGAUUAUAUAAAACAUUUUAUCUAAUAUUAAAUGAUGCCAAAUUUGCUGCUGAGUUAUAUAUGACCAUGCUGAUUCCUUAUCAGACAAGUUUUGUGUGAGUAGUAUAAAAUGCAGGUAGCUAUAUUUUACUAAAUUAUCUUAGAAAAUUUUAUUCAUCAAAAAAUGUCAGAACCCAAAUAAAAAUACAUACCCCAAAAUACCACC
rnacentral:lncRNA from 1 species